UGGCUGCUUUCAUAGGGAGCUCAAUAGCUCA
rnacentral:piRNA from 1 species